UACGGAGGGUGCAAGCGUUAAUCGGAAUUACUGGGCGUAAAGCGCGCGUAGGCGGUUUGUUUAGCGAGAUGUGAAAGCCCUGGGCUCAACCUGGGAACUGCAUUUCGAACUGGCAGGCUAGAGUACAAGAGAGGGUGGUAGAAUUUCCUGUGUAGCGGUGAAAUGCGUAGAUAUAGGAAGGAAUACCAGUGGCGAAGGCGGCCACCUGGCUUGAUACUGACGCUGAGGUGCGAAAGCGUGGGGAGCGAACAGG
rnacentral:rRNA from 1 species